AACGAACGCUGGCGGCAUGCCUAACACAUGCAAGUCGAACGAGACCUUCGGGUCUAGUGGCGCACGGGUGCGUAACGCGUGGGAAUCUGCCCUUGGGUUCGGAACAACAGUUGGAAACGACUGCUAAUACCGGAUGAUGACUUCGGUCCAAAGAUUUAUCGCCCAAGGAUGGGCCUGCGUAGGAUUAGCUUGUUGGUGAGGUAAAAGCUUACCAAGGCGACGAUCCUUAGCUGGUCUGAGAGGAUGAUCAGCCACACUGGGACUGAGACACGGACCAGACUCCUACGGGAGGCAGCAGUGGGGAAUAUUGGACAAUGGGCGAAAGCCUGAGCCAGCAAUGCCGCGUGAGUGAUGAAGGCCUUAGGGUUGUAAAGCUCUUUUACCCGGGAUGAUAAUGACAGUACCGGGAGAAUAAGCCCCGGCUAACUCCGUGCCAGCCGCCGCCGUAA
rnacentral:rRNA from 1 species